GGGAGAGAAAUUGAUGUGAGAGAGACACAUCGAUAGAUUCCCUCAUGCACGUGCCCAGACCAGGUACAUGCCCCCGACUGAGAACUGAGCUUGAAACCCUUCAGUGUGCGGGUUGAUGCUCUAACCACUGAGGAGUACUGGCCAGGGCAGAUUCAUUCUUACCAUAGGUCUUGGCAACCUCAGCAUACGAUUUUUCUUCAUUUCUUAUUAAGUUGAGGACUUUCACCUUUUCACCUAAAAGAAGCACUUUAUGGCUUCUCUUUGGCAUAACCGAAUUGCCAGCAUCACUACUCUUGUGCUUUGGGGUCAUUCUUAAGUAAAAUGAGGCCUACUUGAACACAAGCACUGCGAUACCAGAACAGGCUCUGAUAAUUCAGAUGGCUACUAAGUGACAAAUGGGCAAGGAGUCUAUCCAGCAUGGAGAUGCUGGACAAAGGGAUGAUUCACAGCCUUGUGGGACAGAGCAGGACAGCAUGAAAUUUCAUUCACUACUCAGAAUGGUGCACAAUUUAAAACUUAGAUAAGUUUAUUUCUGGGAUUUUCCAUGUAAUAUUUUGGACCACGGGGAAACAAAAUUGGAUGAGGAGGGCCUGUAUACAUAAACCUUAGCUAGCUCUCAUGAUACAGUGACAAACAGACUUGGUGGUGGUCUUCAAAUAGUUACCGUUUCUUCCCGAUGACAGUGAUUCGCCCCAAGAGUUGGUUUCUUAUUUUGAAAGACGUUACCUUGGAGAAAACCAAGUGGAGGCCCUCUUUGAGGGAGAAGAAAGGAACACACAUUUCCCAUAGAAUGAAGACAAGUGCUUAGGUACAAUCCACACAAAAAAUAAAAUCCGUUACUUGCGCAGUAUUGCCAUGAAUCUACACAUAUUUUGUUGUUAAUCCUCACCUGAGAAUAUUUUUCUCCACUGAUAUUUAGAGAGAGUGGAAGGGAGUGAAGGGGAAGAGAGAGAGAGAGAAACAUUGAUGUGAGAGAGACACAUCGAUUGGUUGUCUCCUGCAUGUUCCCCUACCGGGGCUAGGGAUUGAACCUGCAACCCAGGUAUGCGUCUCUGACCUGGAAGCAAACCUACGACCCUUCAGUGUGAGGGCCGACGCUCUCACCACUGAGAAACACUGGCCAGGGCCAUUAUGUCCUUUUUUAAAAAUUUUGUUUUUUAUUGUCAUUAUGUCCUCUCUAAUGUUGUGAUUUUAUCUUUUUUAUGGCAAAAUUGCCUUAUGGUCAAUGAGUUUUACAGCGAAAAUGUUUGUGGCAGAAAUGCUUGCCACAAAUAUGCUUCAGUGAAAGUAUCUAGAACCAUUUACAGUAUAGGAUCUGCAAAAUACACAGACCUGGAGAAGGGAACCAGCUGAAAGCUUUCCAGGGCUGGCAGGAGGCCUGAGUGCUGAGGCAGAGUGCAGGGUGGGGCUUGUUGGAGCACUGGAGCUGAAGUCCCAGGGGCUGGUGUGUCCAUCAGGCAGGCUUUGUGGGCCAGAGUAAAGGGUUUGAGUUUUCUAAGUAUGAAGACAGCCUUUGGCAGGUUUAAGCAGAGGAGUGAUGUGAUGCUAAUUUACAUUUUAGAAAGACCCAGCUAUGAGUGGAGAAGAGUGUAGGGGGCCAGGCUGGCAGCAAAAAUCUAUUGAGGAAGCCCUGCAAUGGUCCACGUGAGAGACUAUGACUGCCUGGGCCAGGGUGGGGCCGUGAGAUAAAGAGAAGUGGCAGAUCUGGGGUAUAAUUUUGGGAGACUCAGCAGCCCAGAGCUGUGGGGGUGAGGAAGGGGGGUGUAGUGACUAACCCUGAUGUUCCCCCUUCUCAAGCCUCCCCCCACCACCUUGUCCCCCACCUUGCCUCCUCAGCCCCCUACAGCUCUCCAUGGCCCCUCUGGGGCCUGCUACCCGCCCACCAGGCCCCUGGUGUUCUGGCUUCCCAGCUGGUCCCAAUUGUUGUCACUCCCCAGGGAGUCAUGGGAACACACACCCCCUCCUCCCUCAACCCCUCUCCCAGACAAGGCCAGGCCCUAACAAUGCCCCCUCAGCCAGCCAAUGGCCUGGACACAAGACCCCUGAUUCUAUUCAUUGCCAGCUCCAGGAGGCCUGCUGGGAUUCCUGGCCUGUUUGGCAUAUAUAUAACUCUGGCUUCCAGGAGGGAUUUGUUGUUGUUGUUAAAAAAAAUACACACAACUCUGCCUCCUCUUCUCUGGAUCUCUUAAUAUAUUAUAAAAAGCCUUUCUCUUCCCAUCCUGAGCCCUCUCUACUCCCUUUCCUGAAUGCAUUUGGCAUGUGCCCGUCAAUCCAGGACCAAAUGCAGGUCAGCAGGUGCCAGUGAGAAAAUGAGAAAAAGAAAGAAAAGCUGCUCACUCCACCGUGGCCAACCUCGAAUGUGCUGGUGAGGAUGAAGAUCACGAGACUAAUCUGAGAGCUUAUGACAUGGCAGGCACUGUGCCCAGCGCUUUUUGUACACCAUAUCUCAUUACUUCUGAGACUCCAUUGAAGAUGAGGUGCAACAUUAUUUUGAGCCCCUGAGAAAGAAAAAAGCUACUGAGCAAAAAUGGACAUCAUGUAGUCCCAAGUUUCUAUGGAAGGAAUUAUAACAAACAUCUUACAAGAAAAUACAAAGGAAAACACAAACUGUGAGGGUCCUUUAUACUGAGCUACAUUUAGAAACAAUCAACUUUUAAAGAGAAGUUUAUUUCUUGUAUAUGACCUGGAAUUCUUCCCGUCUGAAAACAGGUGCAGAAAUGGCUACCUCCAAGUGAGUUGCAUAAACAUAUUUCUUGAGGGUGUUUUUCUUCCCUCUCAGAUACUUGUUUUUAUUUAAGAUUGUUACAUGGUCAAUGAAAUGCUAACUUCUAUUCCAGUCUUUGCUGGAAGGAAGUGCUUAUUCAUUAAUUGGAAAGAAAAGGAAAGAACCCAACUGGUUAAACUAACCACUUUCUGUUUUCAACAUCAUCUGCCAGAAAUAAUGUCUGGCAUUAUGAGGGGGAGAAAAACAAAUACAGUUGGAGAUUUGAGAAAAAUCAAUUCAUUUUAGCAUUAUGUUACUUUUAUGAAGGAAAAUUAAAAAAAACAAAAAAAACAAAGAAGUGGUUGUGAAUCACAACCCCAGGUAUUAAAAUAUGAAAUGUUUGCUUAUCUUGGUUCCUGAGUUCUGCCUUAGCCAAAAGUUAGUUUUCCUGGAAGAUAUAUAAAGACCCUUGGAUUUCUAGAAAACUUUUUAGUGAAUGUGUCAUUAUCCUUAACAGGACUCUGAUGGUUCUCUAAAUGUUACAGCUACUUCCCUAAAUUAGUUUUUAUUUUUGUAAGAACAUAGUUUAUGCAUUAAAAAGAAGUGCUUUCAAAUUC